UAAAUUUUAAUUAGUUCAAAUGCGUCGGAAGUCGUAGAUAAAUUAAAUUCUAGAGGUGUGUAGAUAGUUUCUUAUUAUGUGAAUUAUUUGUUUGUGUGGUGUUUUUUGUUAGAAAUAGAGAAAGAAUAAAAGAAAAGAAAGAAAGGAAAUAAAGAAAUAAGAAAAGAAAAAGAAAUUGGAAAAGGGAAUGAGAUUUUUUUUAUCUCAAUUCCCCACUUACGGGAACCUUCUACACACACCUCUCUCUCUCUUUUCUCUUCACCAAUUCCUCAAAUUGAGAGAUACCCAAAAAUCGACCAAAAGGGGAAAUCCCCAAAUUGAGGAAAACCCUCAAUUCCCGUCGCCAUCCUCAACUCGCCGGAGUUGGCGACUGCCACUGCCACCGUUGGGUCCCCUGCACCUCGAUUUCCAUCUCCAGAAUCAGCCACCGCCGUCGUCUCCUUUGCGGAAAAACGCCGACGCAGCGACGGGGGGACGGGCAGACGUUGCUCAGCCGCUGUCGCUGAAAUUCCGCCGUCGCCGCCGUGGUUAAUCAGCCGCUGCUGUUACAGCAGCCCCGAAACACUCCCAUUCAACCCGAAUCAACUCCGAACAGCCCCGAAAUCAACCCGAACAUCCACGCACAACCCCGAAAGAUAAGUUUCAUUACUAUUAUGUUCCUUUCGCAACUUCAGAUUAAUCACAACGGGUGUUCAAUUGUAAUGUUCGGUUUGUCAUUGAUUGUGUUGUUUGAUCGGUGAUACUUGUUGAUUGAAUUAUGUGGGAAAUCUAACGAAAUUAUUGGGAUGAUUAGAGUAUAUAGUUGGAUUAUCUUAGAUAGUAUGUAUGUAUUUGAAGUAUACAAGUAGAAAUCUUGUUGCAGUGAAGGAAAUUAAGGAAACAGCUACUGUGCCCUGUUCUGGCAGCAUGUUACAAGUCCCGUUUAACCAAGUAAACGACCUCAUUUUCUUACCAAAUUUUAACUGAACAUACUUUUAUGUGUCUUCUGCCAUGUGACCAAAAUUCAGCUUCAUCCGAGUUCAAAUGAAUUUAUAGUGAUUUUUGUAAUGAGACUGCCCCUGUUCUGCCAGGUUUGAAUAAAACAGACAUAAACCCUAAACAAAUUAGAAUUUGAAGUCCAAAGUUAAUCCCCAUAAAAUAGACCGUCAUGGCUUUUAUUUUCAUCGGGUUACGUUGAAUUUCGACUUCGUUGUUGACCAGAAUGAUUUUUCAAAGUCGGUGCAAAUUCUGUAAAAUCUUGGGACAUGAUAAAAGUUGAAAUGCUUAUGCUUUAACCUUAUUUUUGGACUAGUAUAUGAAGAUAUAUUUCCUAAUGUGAAAUCUUGAAGGAGAAAUAGUUGUUUUUGACUAAUCUAAUAUUUUGUAGUAUACAUGCAUAAAUAAUAGACAAGAAUUAUGAAAUUAAGUUAGAAAAUAAUGGUUAACUGUAUGAAUUUGAUACUUUAUAUGCGAGAGCGAAAUAUAUAUUGAAGGGUAAUCCUACCCCAGGAAAUAACAAGGACAAGGACAAGGAGCAGGAAUAAAGGGAUUCGUGUGUCAAGGGCGUUUUGGAUUUCGAGAUUAGCACUUUCGAUUUACGGCUGCUCAAGUCGGGUCACUAGCCAACCUUUUUGUGUUCAGAAAACUCUUUCGGAUAUGUUAGAUGUGGCAUGUAUAGCAAGUGUAAUAUAGUUAAGACGUUUCAUUUACUUCGUUUUCCAGGUUGUAUAAAUAUAUAUAUAGGCUUUUAGAAACAGGUUUAUGGUCUAAUUUCAGAUGUCAUAUAGCAGUUUUUCCGUUUACCAAGGAAAGGAAAAUGAUAUAUCUUUGUAUAAAAAAAAGAAUCAAGGAUUUUCUGUUAA